UACGUAGGGGGCAAGCGUUGUCCGGAAUUAUUGGGCGUAAAGAGCGUGUAGGCGGUCCGGUAAGUCAGCUGUGAAAGUCAAGGGCUCAACCCUUGAAAGCCGGUUGAUACUGUCGGGCUAGAGUCCGGAAGAGGCGAGUGGAAUUCCCGGUGUAGCGGUGAAAUGCGCAGAUAUCGGGAGGAACACCAAGGCGAAGGCAGCUCGCUGGGACGGUACUGACGCUGAGACGCGAAAGCGUGGGGAGCAAACA
rnacentral:rRNA from 1 species